GGUAGGAGAGCGUUCUGUAAGCCUGUGAAGGUGUCUUGUGAAGGAUGCUGGAGGUAUCAGAAGUGCGAAUGCUGACAUGAGUAGCGAUAAAGGGGGUGAAAGGCCCCCUCGCCGUAAGCCCAAGGUUUCCUACGCAACGUUCAUCGGCGUAGGGUGAGUCGGCCCCUAAGGCGAGGCAGAGAUGCGUAGCUGAUGGGAAGCAGGUUAAUAUUCCUGCACCGUCGUAUGAUGCGAUGGGGGGACGGAUCGCGGAAGGUUGUCCGGGUGUUGGAUGUCCCGGUCCCUACAUUGGAGAUGGCACUUAGGCAAAUCCGGGUGCGUGAUUCAAGGGUGUGGGGCGAGCGACUUUAGGUCGCGAAGCAAUUGGAAGUGGUUCCAAGAAAAGCCUCUAAGCUUCAGUCAUACGAGACCGUACCGCAAACCGACACAGGUGGGCGAGAUGAGUAUUCUAAGGCGCUUGAGAGAACUCGGGAGAAGGAACUCGGCAAAUUGGUACCGUAACUUCGGGAUAAGGUACGCCCUUGUAGUUUGACUGGCUCGCGCCAGAAGGACGAAGGGGUUGCAAUAAAAUGGUGGCUGCGACUGUUUAAUAAAAACACAGCACUCUGCAAACACGAAAGUGGACGUAUAGGGUGUGACGCCUGCCCGGUGCCGGAAGAUUAAAUGAUGGGGU
rnacentral:rRNA from 1 species